GGGCUCGUAGCUCAGCUGGUUAGAGCGCAUGAUUCACAUUCAUGAGGUCAGAGGUUCAAAUCCUCUCGAGCCCA
rfam:Candidatus Buchananbacteria bacterium RIFCSPHIGHO2_01_FTLL_39_14 rifcsphigho2_01_scaffold_1166, whole genome shotgun sequence.